CCCUUAGAUGUUCUGGGCUGCACGCGCUCUACACUGACACACGCAACGAGUCUCCUGCCCUGACAGGGUCGGGUAAUCAUUUGAGUGUGUGUCGUGAUGGGGAUAGAGUAUUGCAAUUAUUGCUCUUGAACGAGGAAUUCCUAGUAAGCACAAGUCAGCAGCUUGUGCUGAUUACGUCCCUGCCCUUUGUACACACCGCCCGUCGCUCCUACCGAGGGGGUGAUCCGGUGAAUGAUUCGGACUCUGGUGCUUCUAGCUGCUAGAUGCGCCGGAGGAAGUUUUGUGAACCUUAUCACUUGGAGGAAGGAGAAGUCGUAACA
rnacentral:rRNA from 1 species